rnacentral:rRNA from 1 species
UACGUAGGGGGCUAGCGUUACCCGGAAUCACUGGGCGUAAAGGGAGCGUAGGUGGCCUGACAUGUCAACUGUGAAAACCCGGAGCUCAACUCCGGACUUGCAGUUGAAACUGCCAGGCUUGAGGACGGUAGAGGAAGACGGAACUGCCAGUGUAGGGGUAAAAUCCUUAGAUAUUGGCAGGAACGCCGGUGACGAAGGUGGUCUUCUGGGCCGGAUCUGACACUGAGGCUCGAAAGCCAGGGGAG